rnacentral:rRNA from 1 species
UAGGGAAUCCUCGGCAAUGGACGAAAGUCUGACCGAGCAACGCCGCGUGAGUGAAGAAGGUUUUCGGAUCGUAAAACUCUGUUGUUAGAGAAGAAUGUUGAUUAGAGUGGAAAAUUAAUCAAGUGACGGUAUCUAACCAGACAGGGUCGGCUAACUACGUGCCAGCAGCCGCGGUAAUACGUAGGUCCCGAGCGUUGUCCGGAUUUAUUGGGCGUAAAGCGAGCGCAGGUGGUUUAAUAAGUCUGAUGUAAAAGGCAGUGGCUCAACCAUUGUGUGCAUUGGAAACUGUUAGACUUGAGUGCAGUAGAGGAGAGUGGAAUUCCAUGUGUAGCGGUGAAAUGCGUAGAGAUAUGGAGGAGCACCGGUGGCGAAAGCGGCUCUCUGGACUGUCACUGAUACUGAGGCUCGAAAGCGUGGGUAGCAAACA